AGCACAACAGCUCACUGUACGAAGCGCGGGAGCAACCCGAAGGUUCAACGAAUAGCGCGCAGUCAGGGAAAAACACGCCGAAUAGAACUAACCGGACUUCGUUGAUCCAAAGUGAGGUGAGCACUGUGAUUGGAACUGACCAACGAUCACCGUGCUCACCUCCGGAGGCAUCGGAACAGCCUCGGAUCGCCAGAACAACGCGCGCAAACACCAACCAGCAGCCAAAAAGGUUCAAACGGAGCAACACCGCCGAAAUAGCGGAACAGAGUCUCCCCAACAAAAUAUAAGGUGAGCACGAUGAUCAGAAAUUUGCCAUGAUCAUCGUGCUCCCUUACGGAGAGAUCGGGGAGCCUCGGAUAGCUUAGAACAGUAAACCCACCAAGAAAAGCCCUAUUUCAGGCUUGGCGGGAGCAGGCUUGCUCCGGCCGGCUUCCGGCGGCACGGGAAGGUGCGCGCGGGCCAGAAGUGGGUGCAGAGGAGGGGGAAGGAGCAAGGUGCUCACCACAGAUGGCAGCGAGGAGCGGCGGCGGCGACGGUGGAGCAAGCCAAGCCCCGCACGAGUUAAGCUUGAGUACCACGGCUGCUGCGACCAAGGUGGCGGCCAGGGCAGGUCAGGGACGACGGCGGGGGGGGUGCCCAGAGGCCGGAGGAGUGCCUCGGGUGCGGCCCCGAGCGGUGGCGGCGCGAGGAGGGAGCCGCGAUCAAGGGCGGCGGCGGCGGCCACUGGCAACGCCGGCGGCGGCGCACGAGGGGGUCUCCGGGGCUCCGAGUGAGGUGGCCUGGAUGGUCCAGCACCCGGCAGCGCGGGGAAGAAGCCGCAGGCUUGCCUCUACCUGGGCUCGGCCUGGAAGGCUGUAGGCAACUAUAGCGCGGCGCUCGGAGGCGGCUGCGGUUGGCGGGGAGGGACGCCGAGGGGUCGACGCCAACAAGGUGCUUGGAGGCAAUGUAGCCUCAGCCUGGCUCUAACCCGAGAGAAAGAGAAAGAGGGAGGGAGAUGGAGAAAGUGGAAGGUAGGAGAUGGUGGCUGUGGCGGUGGCUACCAGCCGGGGCUCGGUCGGCGGCGGCCGGCCCAUGCGCGGCGGGGCAGAGGAACAGAGGUGAAGGUGGCAGGGUACGCUAGGGCAGCUGGGGGCUCAACUAGGGCUCGGAUCCCAAGAAAAACCCUAGAAAACAUUAUAUAUAUAAGCUGGCUAAAAUGCAAAUAAGUCCUCCGAAGAUGGUUAAUUUCGACCAAGCCCUCUACAGCACGAGUAAAACGCGCGAAUACCCCUCCACAUGCGAUUUCACGCGAAACGGUACAUAAAAUAUCGCGUUUCGCAAAAAUACCGUUUUGCGAUCAUCGACCCCUCCCUGAUCAACACGUGAUCUCUGCAGAUCCGUCCGUUAGAUUUGCGAACGGAUCACACUAGUGCGAUCAGCACGACGGAGACAAGAAAGCUACGAUUUCGUUUGACCUCGAUCGCUCUCGGAUUCACGACGAAAUCCGUUCCAACUCUCCAACGGAAGAAACUACGCACAAAUACAUAUAAAACAUAUUUUUUUGGAUUUUCUCGAAAUCCGUGCGUCCAACUCAAAAUCCGUCAGCGCCAGUGGUUCCAAAAUAGCUGAACUGAUCGAAACGAGCUAUUGGAUCACUAUGAACGGAGUCCGAUACCCGCCAGAAGCCAACUUCCCACCAUGACUUCUCCGGAAAACCGAGUUACUAUUUACUUUAAGUGAAACUUGGAAAUUACGUAGAAUAUCCGUUUUAACUCGUUUUUGCCCGAAACUUGACAAGUGCUUUUGUAAUUAAAUUACACACAAAAACAUCGUCAACUGAGAGUUUAGCUACACUGCCAAAAUCUCGGUCCUUACACUAUGUAGUGGGUCUGUGCGCGACCGCGGGGUGUUUACAAAGGUGUUUUAAAACAAAAAUUUAUACGUUUUUUGCUAAUCUUCCUAAAAAGGAUUUUCAAAAAGAGCCCCAAGGCGCGACAGUAUCAGAGCUUCAAGAUAGGCACUGUAAGGAUGACCAUGUGAAUGGACUAAUCUGAAGAUAGCGCAAGAAUGAAGGGAAAAAAAAAAAGAAUUAAUGGGAGGUUGCCACUAGAUCUUGCAAACGAGCGGGUUGGGUAACCUACGAGCGGGUCAUUGUAUUCGCGGGUAAUUUGUGGAUACCCGCGGGUUUGGAUAGAGAUUGCCGGGUCUAGUUGCCUCGUUGACAUAGGAACUGAGAAUUUAUUACAUUUAAUAGAUCCCAAAUUUUAUGAUAUAAAAUUAAUAAAGUUUUCAUGAUUAAAGAGUUAAUAUCAUCAAAAAAUUAUAUAUUUUUUUAAUUAAAAAAAAGUAUAUGCGGAUACCAAUAGGUGCCCAUGGAUUGUAUAAAAUACCUAUAAUCUAACGAUUAUCCAUCCGUUUUAUCCACAGUUUUUUGGAUAAGAAAAAUUAGUAUCUAUACCCGUAAAUUUGCAGGUAACUUACGAAUAUCCGCAUCUAUGGUAUCGUUUGGUUCGGGAAUAAACAAAAAUUGGCUAUUCUAAUGAUAGGUAUAAAUUGAGGUAUAAGCGGGGAUUAGAUCAAUUUUGCGUUUGGAUGAAAAUUGGGUUAUUCCUAAGAAUAAAAAAAUAGUAUUUGAUUAGGUAAGAUGGAAUAAGAAGGAUAAUGGGUUUUUAUAAAUAAAAAAAAUAAUAUUACCCUUUUAUUAUAUUUUAAUUUGAAUUUUUAAAUUUAUAUUUUUAAAUUUAAAAUUUUAACUUUGAAAUUUCAAAAUUUGAAAUUAAAUUUUAAAAUUUAAAAUCUCAAAUUUUAAAUUCAAAAUUUUAAAUUUUAAAUUUCAAACCUCAAUUUUAAAUUCAAAAUUUUAAAUUUUAAAUUUCAAACUUUAAAUUUAAGAUUAAAUUUAAAUUUGAAAAAUAUAAAAUAUCAAAUUUUAAAUUUCAAAAAUUUAAAAUAUCAAAAUUNUGAACUUACCCUGUGUAAGUCUGUUGGAAAUUGGGUUAUGUCAAGUACUUUAACCUUAGCUGGACAUAGUAGUACAGUUACUUUAUGUCUUUGGUUAAGUGAACUUAUUGAUGAACAUACUAGAAAGUUGACAUCUAAAGUGAGCCUAGCGAUGAAUAACCUAGAAGUUGACAUCAUGAUUGGUUAGCAACAUAAUGAAUGACAUUAUGUCUAUUUCUUGCUAAUGAAAAAGGGAAAUUAUAUGAUAUCAUCUGUACUUUCAGUAAAGUGAAUUAUCUUGCAUACUAUCUGUUAUAUGUUUGGUUAAAUUGUCAAGUAAUAUGAUUGAUGGAAUCUAUCAUGAUAACUGAUACCUGCAAUCUAUUGAUGUAUAUUUAUUGUUGAGCAAAUAGCAUGAGUAGUCUACUUUCAUAUCUGUUGCAUGUAAUUGCUUAUUGUAUUAUCUGCAUUUACUUGGUUAUUUAUUACUGUCUACUCAUGCCAUAGUUGACCUAGUGGUGUACUUCGCCACUCUCGGCGGCUUACCCACUGGGAACUAUUGUUUAAUAGUUCUCACGCCCUCNGGCAGGGGAACAGAGGUGAAGGUGGCAGGGUGCGGCUAGGGUAGUUGGGGGCUCAAUUGAUCCCAAGAAAAACCCUAGAAAACAUUAUAUAUAGGCUGGCUAAAAUGCGAAUAAGUCCUUCGAAGAUGGUUAAUUUUGACCAAGCCCUCUACAGCGCGAGUAAAACGCGCGAAUAUCCCUCCACAUGCGAUUUCAGGCGAAACGAUACAUAAAAUGUCGCGUUUGCAAAAAUACUGUUUUGCGAUCACCGACCUCUCCUCGAUCAACGAGCAAUCUCCGUAGAUCCGUCCGUUAGAUUUACGAACGGAUCACACCAGUGCGAUUAGCACGAUGGAGACAAGAAAGCUACAAUUUUGUUUCACCUCGAUCGCUCUCGGAUUCACGAUGAAAUCCGUUCCAACUCUCCAACGGAAGAAACUAUGCACAAAUACAUAUAAAACAUGUAUUUUUGGAUUUUCUCGAAAUCCGUGUAAUAUACUGAAUCUGGCCUAUUGACAAGUUCAAGGGUUGCAAUGGCUAUUGGAACUGAGCUACGACGUUUGAUAGACCUUAGAAAGGUUUUGACACGUUACUGAAGUAAGAANUUUUUUGUUCGAUUUUGGUAUGGUUAGGUGCGAGCACUAUAGGAGGAGGUGCAAGAUCCGGGCGCCGUGUUGCGAUGAGAUCUACCACUGUCGCCAUUGCCACAACGAGGCCACGGUAUGAGAUCCCCGAUAGAUCUCUUUUCCCUUCUUCCUUUUUAUCUCCGAUUAGGGCUUAUGAAUUGUUCGUUCCGUGAUAUGUUAGCGAGGAAUUACGGUUAUGUCGAUCUCGUAUUUUUGAGCUAUUAUUUGAUCUAAUUUGUUUUAUUUAGGGCACCAAUUUUGGGUUUUGUGUUUUGCGCACCUUUGAAAUUUGUGACACUGUGUGCUGAAAAGCAGCAGAAGCUCUAAUCUGAAGCUUUUGCAGCAGAAGCUGCUGUAUGGAUUUAGUCCCUGGUUGGCCCCCCUUCUGCUUCAGCUUUUGUCAAACAAAAGCUAGUCUGGUGGUUUUUCUCUGGUAGAGAGCUAAAAAUGAGGUUUUUAUCCCCAAAAGUAGAAUUCUCUGAAUUAGUUAAAUUUUCUGAGGAUUUUGGAGUUGCGGAGCUCAGUUUUGGUAGGUGACAAAGAAAUGACAUAAAGACUACUCAGAACCUUUGUUUAUAAAGACCAGGUUUCAUAAUGCGGCCCAAAAGUACUCAUCUAGGCUUUCUUUCCUUGAUGCUUUUCAAAGGCGGUGGGAAAUGCUCUUGGAGAAGCAUUCGGUAUAUGCGUCUCCAGCGGUGAUUCCCGCCAUCAUUUCAAAGUGUCAGAGAAGGAAAGAUCUAAAGCACUUUUGGAUUUUUUGAACCCUCGAGAUCAUCAAAGUAGGUGUGUUUGGGCAACACAUUCCUAGGAUGGUUCUAAAUGAAGAGCUACUAUUACUUAACACUGUUUCCCAUACAAAUAACUGACUACUUGUAUAAAGAAAUGUUUUUCUGAAAGAGCCCUCUAAGAGACUUGUUACUAGGUAUGAUAUAGGAGCAAAUGCAUUUCUCAUACAAAUAACUGACUGCUGAUAUAAUUAUAAAGAAAUGUGUUUCUGAAAGAGCCCUCUAAGAGACUUGUUACUAAGUAUGAUAUAGGAGCAAAUGCCUUUCAUUGAUUGUCACAUGGCAAAAAUGAGACCAGUCUUACAAAAAUCAUUUUAACCGACCUUUGUUAUUCAUGUGAAAAGUUGAGACCAACUCCAUCUUGAAUCGGUGUUAUAUAUAUAUAUAUAUAUAUAUAGAGUCCGGCUGGGAUAUUACCAAUAGUACCAAGGACUUGGUGCUAUCGAGUUUUCCACCGUUAGAUUUAACCAUUUGAUUAUUUUUCCCGUUAGAUUAUACUAUUCAACCAACCACCCACUCAACCCUAAGGGGCCCACAUCAUCCUAACCGCACAUUUUUCAAUCCAAGGGCUAAAAAAUUAAUAGCACCAAUAGCUUGGUGCUAUUAAUAGCAUUCCAGCCUAGUUCUAUAUAUAUGUAUAUAUGUAUAUAUAUAUAUGUAUAUAUGUAUAUAUAUAUAUGUAUAUAUAUAUAUAUAUGUAUAUAUAUAUAUAUGAGAGAGAGGGAGAGUUGAGCUGGAUACUAUCGGUAGCAAAUGAGCUCCAUUGCUAUCGAAUUGUUUUCGAUAAUGGAGCCUCCAAAUCGGCGAUCAACANUUCUUAUUUCCUGUUUUAAGGUUUGGAUUGUAUAAGUCUAAACUUAUAAGUCUUGCUCUGAUUACCUAGUUGAAUUUUAUGCUUUUACUAUAUGGUUUGUAGACGCCUUGUGUAUACUUGAGUUGUGGUGUACACGGCGGGUCUGUGCACGCGACCGGAUAUGCUUCCGCUGGUACCCGGGCGUGACAAUCCGUGUGUCAAACUCAAAAUCCGUCAGCGCCAGCGGUUCCAAAAUAGCUGAACCAAUCGAAACGAGCUAUUGGAUCGCUAUGAACGGAGUCCAAUAUGUGCCAGAAGCCAACUUCCCUCCGUGACUUCUCCGGAAAAUCGAGUUACUAUUCACUUUAAGUGAAACUUGGAAAUCACGUAGAAUCUCCGUUUUAACUCGUUUUCGUCCGAAACUUGACGAGUGCUUUUGUAAUUAAAUUACACACAAAAACAUCGUCAACUGAGAGUUUAACUACACUGCCAAAAUCUCGGUCCUUACACUUAUACCCUCAGUACACAAACUCCUCUUGACCCAGUUCCGUAAAGGUCACCACCUAGCUCUCACAAUCAAUUGUAGCAUAGUACAUAGAGAGCCAGUCCAUUCCCAACACUAGUUCAUACUUGACUAUUCGAUUCAAUAGUAGCAAAUUUGCCAGUAUGAAAUAUCCAAUUCCCUAUAUUGAUAGCGUAGUCACGACAUACGUUCUUAGCACAAAAUACAUGCUCGGAUACUUGCACCCAUCUAGUGUGCUCAGUGUAAGGACCAAUGAAGACGAUCUACUGCGAGGAUUCAGUAAAGGUUGAGUCAUGGAUUCGGUAAAUCAUCCGGUACUCAUAUUUUUAUAGUGGAUUAUUUUGUGUGAUCGGUCCUGUGGGUCUUUUACUCCUCUUGGAGUUUUUCCACGUAAAAUCUCGGUGUGUUGUCUUUUAUUUUCUGCAUUUAUUUUCUAUUGCAUCGAGUUGGUUGAUUUAUCAUUUACACCUAUUCGCCCCCCUCUGGGUGUGAUUAUACCUUUUAGAUCCUUAUAAUUUACAGCAGUGAAAAGCUCUGAAACAAAAACAAACAAUCAAUGGGGAUUAGAACUAUUAAACAAUAGUUCUCAAUGGAUAAGCCGCCAAGAAAAGCGAAUUACACCAUUAGGUCAACAGAGGCAAUAUGGUAAAUAACUAAAAAAGAAACUAUUAUCAUUGCUGAAUUGAAAUGUUCUAAUACUAUCAUGCCUCUAUAUGACUAUGCCUAUCAACAAACAUGCAUGUGUGUAAUGACCAAUAAGUAUGCUCAACUACUAUAUAUGCAUCAAUUACUUGUGAUGUACACAACUACUAUGCAACAAUGCCACAAUGUCAAUUCCCUUGAAUGUAGUUCUACUACUAUCAUAUGGGCUAGUAACCAACUAAUGAAGGUCGUUCUACUGUUAUCAUAUGUCAAGUAAUGCAAGGUUCACAUCUAGGUCCAUCAUCACGAAUGCAUCAAAUUGUAACAUACAAUGUCAUAUUCAAUUUUCUUAUACCCAAAUCAUCGAGGUCUUACACCAGGUAAUGUCCCGGCUUAUGCCAUACAUAGUGGCUCCGUGGUAGUCAACAAUCCCACUUUAGAAAUGAGCUUUCCCCAUGGCAUCCCACUUCGGCGUUCAAUCCCAUACGGUGAUUAGUCGUCGCAAAGGCCAUACUCGAAGUGCCGGCUUAUAGGGAGUGGCCCUCAUAAGCAUAUGCGAAUGAGCACAAGGGCAAGCAAGCGUAGUCAUAAGCGUAUAGAACCUCAUUCAUCAUAUCUAAACAUGGACUUAGAACAUCACUCAUCAUGUCUAAAACAUGGAAUUAGAACAUCACUCAUCAUGUUUAAAACAUGGAUUUCCAUCAAACGACCAAAUGGUCCAAUACAUUGUUAUAAUGUCGUAUCUUGUCAAAUUACUAAGUUAGGCAUAUUGCAGUUAGGCAUUCCAACAUGUCUCUAACAUGCAAGGCGUCACCUUCCUUAUAACUAUACUAAGUAUGCGUAAUUUGCCAUUCAUGUUCUACUAAUCAUGUAAGGUUACAAAUGUGUAACAUCUCACAAUAAUAUACAUGAGGGUUAAUUUAAUUAUGCCAUUGACAAUAUUACAUGUCUCUGCAUGCAUGGUCUUAACCAUGAAUUCCUCUACUACAUAGAGGAUAAAAUUUUUCAUGCAAAAUGUAUUCGAACUAUAUGCCAAAAAUUCAAUGUUGUGUCGAAUUGCAUGUUAAAUCAUCUAAUAAGCUCAAAAAUAAGAUAGGAGACAUAGAGGGAAUUUACCUAUUUCGGUGAGGUCAAACCUACCGGAUAACUGUCGAAAGCUCAAUCAUUUUGAAAACAAAGUUACCCUCUAAACUUCUUGCACCCUCAUAAAAAUUUUCAAAGGGUUACAAGUUUCAAAAAUUUACCACGAAAUUCAUCAAAAAUCAAAUAGGUAAAAAUUACCUUUGAUCAAGUAAAGCUUGCCCAAGGUCCAAACCAAAGUAAUGGGGCUUCAAAUCCAAUCUAAAAGUGUGAUCAACACUCAUCCAUUUCAUCCCAAAAGCUCCAAAUAGGAAAACCCGAAAAUAAAUCUAAGUUUCCACCAAACUAGGUUUUCUACUAAAAAUUCUUGCAAAACUUACAAAUAGAGGAUGUAAGAUGGUUACUAACCUCAAAGAGAGUUGCAAAUCAAGCUAUGAGGUGCUAGGGUUGAAGUCCAAACAUCAAACAAGAUCCCUCCUUCAAUUCCAAACUCCCUUCCAAGUCCUAGAUACAUGUGUUAGUUGUAUGCCCAAGAAGCCUAUUAGGCUGACACAUUUUAUUUUCUAUGGGACAUAUUUUUGUGCUUAAUCUUUGUUAUAUAUAAUUUGGACCUUUUAUUACAUUCAUGUUUAAUGUAUCCGUGAAUCAUCCUUUAAUUAAUAAGAUGAUAAUAUGUAUUCUCAAGAGUUGAGAAUUUGAGAUACAUAUUAUUGGUGAUUAAUUCCUAAAUGCUCUCAAUCGGAGGAUCAUCAUGGGAACGAUGAUUGAUCCGGUAAGAUUGAUGUGUGUGCCUAUUCCCUUUUGGGAUGACGAAUCUCGAGUCAUCAGUGUGGGGACACUGGAGCGAACAUGCAGGUGGUUGUUGGAGAACAAGAGUAUUGAGCGUGACCAACUACGAACGGUUACAUAGAUGUCUACUCAUUUAUCAGUAACUGGCUCGAUGUUGUAGUGGUACAACUGAUGCUUAGACCUUCGACACCACAGCCAUUCGAUAUGAGGCUACUGUAGUUUGACUAUGCAGCAAACUCUAAUCCUAGCUAUGGGUCUUAGUAGUAUAUGUUAGCUGCAGUUAGUUCAUAUCAGGAAUAGGUGUGUGCCUACAGGGGAUCUAUCGCUCUCGGUAGAGAGAGAAUUAGUUCUAUGCUAUUUGUAAGGCAAAGCUCAGAAAUUCUCAGCCGGGGUAAUAUGGUGUAUGAAAAGAUGUUUCCAAGAGUGACCAUAAGAGCUUCUCUCCUAUCAAAUUUGUCAUAUGACGGGUGAUGGGGUUUGACGAGUAUUCUAUGACCUCUCAGUCAGGACUAUGCGAUAGAAGGAUUGUAUUAUAUGGUAACUGCACCUAGAGGUUCAGUCCGAUAUUCACUUCUGACUGGAUUGCCACUACAUGCUGUUAGGCGUCACUGGUGGAUUGUCGAAACUAAUAGAAAUAAUGAUAAAUAAUUAAUUAUUCUAUAAGGGUGGAAUCAAAAGAGUUUAAGCUAACAAAAGAAGUUUUGAUGAUGAUGUAGACGGGGAUUGCAUCAUAUCUCACUACCAGACAAAAUUAAACAUAUUAGGUCACACAUAUAAGAAAUCAUGCAUGAUCGAUAUUUAGAAGACGAUAAAAGAAGUUUAUCGGAUAGUUUAAUUGCAAUUAUAAUAAAGUUAAAUACUAAAGUUUACUAAUGUAUUAGUAAAAGUUUACUAAUUUAUUAGUAAAAUGACUAAUUUACAAUUGUUGUAAAUUAAAGGCAUUUAUGUGUAAAAGUUGCAUGGUGUAUUUACUAAUCAUUAGUAAAUAAUAUGAGGACUUAUGUGUAAAUGUUACACACGAAUCGUAUUAAGAUUAGGAUUCGGUUAAUAUUAUAACCGACUUGAGGGUUAAUGGAUAAUCAAACUAGGAUUUUGAUUAGGAUUAUGAUUAGGUUUAGGAUUUUCUCAUUAUAAAUAUAUAUCAUAUAGCAUAUUAAAAUUAAUUAAUACAAGAGAAAUAGAAAACCCUAGCCGUCAAUCCUCUCACUUUUCUUCUAGUCCUCCACAAUUAAUCCAUCGGUUUCGAUCUUCAAAAGGGUUGCUUGCAUAUCUAGAAGAUUGAUUCAUCUUCUUCAAAUCGACAUUAGAGUUAAUUCGUGAUCGGAUCACGGAUUGAAGCGGUCGUCUAAUUCGAUCAAGGGCGUGAUUUCGUGUGGACACAAGUAGAGGCCGGGCGUGUGCGCUGCUAAGCGAGGACGAACAAUUUUUAACAAUGAUUAUCGACUUCGCCGUGAUCUCGACCCACACAAGGUGAAAAACUAGAUCCUAUUUGAUUAGAUCAAUUAAAUCAAUUAUUAAUGAUCUAAAGCGAGAAACGAGGUAAUCUUUGGUUUUAAAAAAUUUUAAUUAUGUUAUUUCUUCCACUGCGGUACACAUGAUUUUCUUACAAUGUAUCAGAGCCACCCUCAUCAUUUGUUUUGGAUUUAAUAUCUUUUUUGAAGUUAAUUGGGUUUUUCGGAACAUUCAAAAUCACAAGAAUGAGGAUUGUUUUUGAGCAAUUUUUUUUAUUGUUUCGAAAUGUUAAUUAAAACCAACGCACGAUGCACCAUUGACACGGCCGCGACAUUUGGCAUGCGAGCUAGACGGUUGUAAAGAUUGCAUGAAACCGUAAGUAGCCCAUGCAUUUCUUGGUCAUCUCGAUGACAUGCAUGCACAUGUCAAUUUAAUGCCUUACACCUCAUAUAAUUAACUCGAGUGGUGGCCAUGGAUGACAAAUUAGUGUAUGGCAUCACUAAUUAAUUAGUUGGGCAUUUGAUUGCAUGUAAUGUGAGGCAUAGUUGCAUGGACGAAACGCACAUGUUGCAAGGUCUGCGUGCACCAUGCGAGCACGUAGUUCAUGCGGUGCUUGUGUGCGACGCAGCUAGGAUGCGGCUAUGUCAUGCGGUUGCAUCUUGAAUCGCAAUUUAAAUUAAUUUUAAAUUAUAUAAUUUAAUAUAUAAGAUGUAUUAAAUUCUUUUAAUAAUUGUAAGAAUGAAUUGUGAUUUUUGAAAGAUUUGUUUUUAAAUUAAUCCAAAAUUCAAUUAAUUAUAAUUCGAAUUAGAGAAUUUAAUAUUGGAUGCAGGUGAUGUAUAUGAGGUGAUAAUCAUGGAUAGCGACCUUGUGAUGUACAUGUAUCAUGUGAUGAUGUGAAUUGGUGUAAUUUAAUAUGGACCCAGUGUUAGAAUUUUUUUUCGGUGCUCCGUGUACUAAUUCAAUUAUGUAAUUUGGAGACCUGCGUGUCUCAUAAAUUUUAUGAGUUGUAAAGUUAUUAUUGCAAAAUAAAUAAGGGAAAAGGGUAGUUUAGGUUCCAUAAGGAUCCGUUGCAUUCAAGAGUUGAUGCGGUGCGGGUCAAGUUUGGACCAUAUGCUGAUCACGGGAGAAGACAAGAGUUGAUUAACUCCAAUCCGAUUAAAACACAAAAUAAAAAAGUUUUUUUUGUGUGUAAUAUCCUUAUGACCCGAUUCCGGCCUAGUGGCUCAAGCCCGAAUCAAAAUAAAAUCUAUGAUCAUCACCUGUAGUUAUUUUUAUAUGUGAUGUAUCUAUGCAUAUGAUGCGAUGGUUUGCAUGAGAUGUAAAUUAAUAACAAACUAAAAUUGACACUACAACAAAACUAACUUUUAGCGGUGAUUAUUUUCUUAAAUCCCGACAAUUACAAUUGCCGCUAAAUAGUUUAGUGACAAAUGUAGUAAUUGCCACUAAUGGUGGGGUCGGUAAAAGUUAUUACUGCAUUUGUUUGAACGGUUGGUAAAAGACUAAAAAAAUGCCGCUAAAUCCUACCUAAUAACAACAAUUAUAAAUGUCAUUAUAAUUAAUUAUAAUUGCCACUAAAAGUAUACUAAAUAAAUACUAAAUAAAACUUAUAGCGGCAAUUGCAAUAUAUACUAAAACGCUUGAUCCACAAUUAAAUAUUCCAAUAAAUUGAAAUUAAAAAACAUUGAUUACCAAAGAGCAAUCAUGAUUUGCGACAAAUCACAGUUUUAAUAUUAAAAAUAAAUUUCAUACAUGAGUUUCAACUACAAAAAAUUUCAAAUUCUAAGUGCUCAAGCCAUUAUUGUUUCACUUCGAAAGCUGUAGAUUUGACGUAGCUUUGGCUGUAGAUUUGACAUAACUAAGCGAUAUCCUGCAAAAAAUAAAACAAACAAAAAAAUGCAAUUAAACAAACAAACAAUUGUUUUGUAGGCAAAAAAUAAUUUUAUUAGGUACUGAUCUCCAAACAGUGUAAUAGAAAAAUGAAAGGUUAUUGAAACAGAUAUAAAUUGUAAAACUUUUUAUAGGGGAAAAAAUGCUCGCUGAGUCUUCGAGGAAGGUAAGUAUCAAUCACUUCAGGGAUGUUAGCCGUAAAAUAUGUUCUUACCUGAAAAUUAUGUACUUAUCUGAUUAUAAUAAAUUACAAAACAACUUAUUACUUUUCCAAUUGUUGGAUAAGUAAUAACAUUUUAUCCUGCUAACUAACUCAAUCCACCCAAACAAGUUCCUCAUUUGUUAAUUCAAUUUCCAUUUAUACGUGUCUGCCACCAUGAAUGACGCACCUCGCACGGUCGAUGGAUUUUCGGCCGUGAGGUAGUAUUCAUGAUUCAGAUGAGUAUUUAUAUGUAUGUGUGGGUAUCAGGUAUUGCGAGUCCAUGACUUCCAAUAGAUGCAAGCAUCUAUUGUUAAUUACCCCCUGUAGAUUUGGGUACUUUCGAUUAGGAGACUUUUAUAGAUGGGAUGAGAUGGAUCGUAUCUCGGUUUAUUGAAUCAUAAGUAUAUGUAUUAGGAUUCAAUUGAAUUUGAGGUUGAUUAGGCCCUAAGUAUAUGUGUUAAGACCUAAUCGAUAUUAAACUCUAUGUAUUAGAGUCUAAUUGGUUCAUGAGAUAUGGGUAUGAGAUCUGGGUAUUCGUUCAUGGGAUUUGGGUAUUGGUUUAUGAGAUUUGGGUAUUGGUUCAUGGGAUAUGGGUAUUAGGUUGCAUGUAUGGUUCAUGGAAUUUGGUACAUGAGGUUUGGUGUAUGGUUUAUGGAGUUUGGUCCAUGAGGUUUAGUUGUGGUUCAUGGGAUUUGGUCCAUGAGGUUUGAUUAUGGUUCAUGGAAUUUAGUCCAUGAGAUUUGGUUGGUUCAUGGGAUUUGGUCCAUGAGAUUUGGUUUAUGGUUCAUGGGAUUUGGUCCAUGAGGUUUGAUUAUGGUUCAUGAGAUUUGGUCCAUAAGGUUUAGUUGGUUCAUGGGAUUUGGUCCAUGAGAUUUGCAUAUGGUUCAUGGGAUUUGGUCCAUGAUAUUUGCAUAUGGUUCAUGGGAUUUGGUCUAUGAGAUUUGGUUUUGGUUCAUGAGAUUUGGUCCAUGAGGUUUGAUUAUGGUUCAUGGGAUUUGGUCCAUGAGAUUUGAUUUUGGUUCAUAGGAUUUGGUCCAUGAGGUUUGGUUUUGGUUCAUGGGAUUUGGUCCAUGAGAUUUGGUUUAUGGUUCAUGGGAUUUGGUCCAUGAGGUUUGGUUUUGAUUCAUGGGAUUUGGUCCAUGAGGUUUGGUUUUGGUUCAUGGAAUUUGGUCCAUGAGAUUUGGUUUUGGUUCAUGGGAUUUGAUCCAUGAGGUUUGAUUUUGGCUCAUGGAAUUUGGUCCAUGAGGUUUGGUUUUGGCUCAUGGGAUUUGGUCCAUGAGGUUUGAUUUUGGUUCAUGGGAUAUGGUCCAUGAGGUUUAGUUGUGGCUCAUGGGAUUUGGUCCAUGAGGUUUGGUUGUGGUUCAUGGGAUUUGGUUCAUGAGGUUUGGUUUUGGCUCAUGGGAUUUGGUCCAUGAGGUUUGGUUUUGGCUCAUGGAAUUUGGUCCAUGAGGUUUGGUUUGGGUUCAUGGGAUUUGGUCCAAGAGAUUUGGUUGGUUCAUGGAAUUUGGUCCAUGAGGUUUAGUUGUGGCUCAUGGGAUUUGGUCCAUGAGGUUUGGUUUUGGUUCAUGGAAUUUGGUCCAUGAGAUUUGGUUUGUUCAUGGGAUUUGGUCCAUGAGAUUUGUUUGGUUCAUGGGAUUUGGUCCAUGAGAUUUGGUUUAUGGUUCAGGGGAUUUGGUCCAUGAGGUUUGGUUUAUGGUUCAUGGGAUUUGGUCCAUGAGGUUUGGUUUUGGUUCAUGGCAUUUGGUCAAUGAGGUUUGGUUUUGGUUCAUGGGAUUUGGUCCAUGAGGUUUGGUUUUGUCUCAUAGGAUUUGAUCCAUGAGGUUUGGUUUUGGUUCAUGGCAUUUGGUCCAUGAGGUUUGGUUUGGUAUGGUUUGGAUUUGAUUCUUGUUUGUGUCCUUCAUGUGGACUUAGUUUGGGUUAGGUUUGGGUUUGAUUUGUGGACUUGGUUUGGUUUGGAUUUGGGUUUAUUUGGGUUCAAGUUUGGAUUUAUUUGUAGGUUUAUUUGUGGACUUGGUUUGGUUUGGAUUUGGGUUUAUUUGCGUUCAAGUUUGGGUUUAUUUGGACUUGGUUUGGGUUAGGUUCGUAUGUGAACUUGGUUUAGGUUAGGUUUGGGUGUGGACUUGAUUUGGUUUUGGGUUCGGGUUUAUUUAUGGAAUGGGUUUGGGUUCUUUAUGUGGACUUGGUUUGGGUUAGGUUUGGGUUUGAUUUGAUUUGGAUUUAUUUGUGGACUGUAUUUGGUUUGGGUUUGGGUCCGAUUUGGGUUUUGGUUUGGAUGUUUAUUUAGACUUGAUUUGGUUAUGUUUGGCUUUGUAUGUGGGCUUGGUUUGGUUUGGGUCUAUUUGGGUUUUGGGUUGGCGGUUUAUUUGGACUUGGUUUGGUUAGGUUUGGCUUUGUAUGUGGACUUGGUUUGGUUUGGGUUUAUUUGGGUUUUGGGUUCGAGUUUGGGUUUGAACUUGACUUGAUUUAGGUUUGUAGGUGAACUUGAUUUGCAAUUUGAUUUGUGGUCCGUAUGUGAACUUGAUUUGCAAUUUGGGUUCGCAUAUGAACUUAAUUUGCAGUUUGAGUUCGUGUGUAAACUUGAUUUGCAAUUUGAUUUGGGGUCCGAAGAAAUCCCUUUUUGAUUUUGCAAUUAGAUUUGGGGUCCGAAGAAAUCCCCUAUUGAUUUUGCAAUUGAAUUUGGGGUCCGAAGAAAUCCCCGUUUGAUUUGAAUUUGAAUUUGGGGUCCGAAGAAAUUCCCGUUUUGAUUUUCCAAUUUGAUUUGGAUUCGAAGUCCGAAGAAAUCCCCGUUUGAUUUGAAUUUGAAUUUGGGGUCCGAAAAAAUCCCCUAUUGAUUCUGAUUUGGGGUCCAAAGAAAUUCCCGUUUUGAUUCCAAUUUGGAUUUGAUUUUCAAAUUUGAUUUGGGGUCCAAAGAAAUCUCCGUUUGAUUCUCCAAUUGGAUUUGAUUUGGGGUCCGAAGAAAUUUCCUUUUGAUUUGCCAUUUGGGGUCCGAGGAAAUCCCCGUUUAGUUCUAAUUUGGGAUCCGAAGAAACAGGGAUCUUUGAUUCCCCUCCCCUCUUCUGGCGAUACUUCCUCGGCGAUGUUGUAGAUGUCGUCGGCGAAGUUGUUGACGGUGGCACGGAUCUGUUCGGCCAGCAAAUUUGAUUUGACAUUUUCAAAGAAAUAUUGAAGGGUCCUAAGAAAUGGGGAAUCAAAGAUUCCCCUCCCUUCUUCUUUCGAAAAGAUCAAAACGGCGAUUGUAGAUGUCGUCGACGGAGUUGUUAACAGUGGCAUGGAUUUGUUCGGCCGGCAAAUUUAGGUCGAUAUUUAUCAAAGAAAUGUUGAAGGGUCCGAAGAAACAGGGAAUCAAAGAUCCUCCUCCCCUCUUCUUUCGAAAGUAUCAAACCAAACAUGCUGGAGAUGGUCGCGGCAAUGUAGAUCAUCCAUUCCAUCAUCAACGACUUCGAAUGGGGUAUUGAGAGGUCCGAAGAAACGGGGAAUCGAAGAUUCCCCUCCACUCUCCCACCGAAGCCAUCUAAAUGAUAUGGAUGGCUACGAUCGCAGGACAAAAGAAAAAAAAGAAAAGAGGGGGAAGAAAAGAGAUCUUUUUUUGUUUUAUUAUUAUUUUUACUUUCUUUCUCUGUUUUUUUUUUUUUACCUGUUGAUCAAAUGAGGGAUUAGAUAAAGCAGCUCAACGAUUUCUCCUUCUUUCUGCGGUUUGGCGAUAUCUUCUCCUUUCAGCGGCUUGGGGAUGUCUCCUCCUUUCAGUAGCUCGGCAAUAUCUCCUCCUUUGAAUAUUUUGAACUUGGAAGUGUAUAACAAUCUAUCUAUCGUAUCGUCUCUGUCCAAAAGAAAAAAAUUCUCCCCGAGUUUGAUUUCGGUUCUCAUAUUUAUAAUGGGAGGGGUGGUGAGAGAUAUUUUGAGGGAUUCGAAAUUCGAAUUUGAAUUUUGAAUAGGUUGUUGGGGUUGGUUGAAAGAUAUUUGGGAUUUUGUUGAGAAUUCGAAAUUCGAAAUCGAAUUUUGAAUGGGUUGUUGGAUGGUUGGAGGGUAUUUUGGAAAUUGGUUGGAAUUCAAAAUUCGAAAUUUGAAUUUUGAAUGGGUUGUUGGAGGAUAUUUUGGGAAUUGGUUAGGAAUUCAAAAUUCGAAAUUUGAAUUUUGAAUGGGUUGUUGGAGGAUAUUUUGGAAAUUGGUUUGGGAAUUCGAAAUUCGAAAUCGAAUUUUGAAUGGGUUGUUGGAGGAUAUUUUGGUAGUUGGUUGGGAAUUCGAAAUUCAAAAUCGAAUUUUGAAUGGAUUGUUGGAGGAUAUUUUGGAAAUUGGUUGGGAAUUCGAAAUUCGAAAUCGAAUUUUGAAUGGGUUGUUGGAGGAUAUUUUGGGAAUUGGUUAGGGAUUCGAAAUUCGAAAUCGAAUUUUCAAUGGGUUGUUGGAUAAUUGAAGGAUAUUUUGGUGAGUCGGUUAGGGAUUCGAAAUUCGAAAUCGAAUUUUGAAUGGGUUGUUGGAUGGUUGAAGGAUAUUUUGGUGAGUUGGUUAGAGAUUCGAAAUUCGAAAUCAAAUUUUGAAUGGGUUGUUAGAUUGUUGAAGGAUAUUUUUGGGAGUCGGUUAGGGAUUCAAAAUUCGAAUGGAUGUUGGUUGGGGAUUCGAAAUUCAAAAUUGAAUUUUGAAUGGGUUGUGGGAUGGAUAGGUAUUCAAAAUUCGAAUGAUUGUUGGUUGAGAGAUAUUUUGGGCGUUGGUUCGAAGUUCGAAAUCGAAUUUCGAAUAGGGUUAUUAGGAUAACAGAUAUUUUCUGGGGGUUUAAAAAUUUAAAAUCGAAUUUGAAUAUGAUAUUCGAAAUUGAAUUUUCAAACGUGGGUGAAAAUGUGGGCCGUGAUUCCAUGAAUUGGGCUGAAAUUGGGCCCACUUUGAUGAAACUUGUUGGGCACAAUUAUUUAUUGGGCUGAGAUGAGGCCCGAAUUAUUGUAAUAGGCCUAAAAUUUUAAAGGGCUUUCUUGAGGCCCAUUAAUUUACAUUUAUGAAUGGGCCUAUUGUGGACUUUAAAUUGUAAUUAUUGGUCCCAAAAUUUUCUGGUUAAUAUGAGACCUAUCAAAAUUGUUUGAGUCUGAAUCUAAUCGGUUUCAAUUAUGAUUAGAAAUUUUUUUUUUUUCACUUCAAACAAUACGUUCACCCAAAAAAGGCCAGAUCUCUCUAGAUUGACAUUAGAAACCUCAUGAUGUUUUAAUAGGCAGAUCAAGAUGUAUGGAAUAAACUAGAACACUGACUAACUUGUACAUCCAUAUCGCGAUAAGAACUAGAAGCAUCAGAAACUUGUUUCAUGAACAUAAUGAGGAUAAAAAAAAAUUGGUUCUGAUAACAAGAAAGUAUUUUAAUAAUUUAAAGUAAUUUGAUUUAAGUUUUACCAAGCACACUAUUCUAACUAAGUAAUUUAGUAGCUCAAAAAUAGCCUACAACUACUGUAAUAUACCGAAACUUCGGUAAGCUAUAUCGGGCUUUAGCCAAAUUGGCCAAAGCGCUCGAAAGAAAUAGUUGGACAAGUUCCAUUUAACAUUUCAAUAAGGUUGGAAGGGUUAAAAGUGACUUCUUAAAGAGUUAGAAGGGUUUUAGCAUUGCUCGGCACAAAAGAGAAGUCGAACAAGUGCUAAACUGCAGUCUGGGCAUUUUGUACCGGUACAACAUCAGGGCAAUAUCGGUACACUUUUGUAAAACUCGAACAGCAGCUCUCGAGUUUGCCUCUGCGCGAUCGUGUUAUCGGUGACACCAUAACCUGUACCGGUACACUUUGGGUCUGACAGCAAAAAUAGUUCUGCUGCAAAUGUGAGUUUUUGGGGGGCCUAAAUGCAAUUAUAGCACCUCAUAAAACACCCCAACACCCCUCCCACCUGUUCAUAACAGCAAGCACCUUCUCCCCUCUCAUUCUCUCUUUCUCUCUCUAGAAACCCCCUCUCAAGGUGGAAAAGAGGAGAUCAAGAGGAGGAUUUGGAGAUUUUGGAGCUUUGGGAGGAUCUAGAGCUCACCUAUAAGGAGGAGCUUGUUGAGUUCAUGGGUCAAGGUAAGGUUUCUUGUAAGAUUGAUAUUAGGGUUUGGUUUUACACCCAAAAUCUUUUGGAUUUGAUCUUCUUACAAGAGUAGAAACCUUGUUGAAACCAUAGAACACAUGAAAACCAUGUUUUCUUCUCAUGCUCUCAUGGUGGAUUGCUAGGGUUUGUUCUAAAUGCCUUAGGAAUGGUUUGAGUGGCCUAGUAAUGGUUCUAGAUGAGUUUCUAGAUGAUUCUAAGCUUGUUUUAGCUUAGCAAAGAGAUCAAUCUAGCAUAUGUUGCUAAAUGACAUUGUUAAGACACCAAAAUUGGGGCUUUUGUCAUAAGUGGGUUUAAAUGUAAAUUGAACCUAUGUAAACCUAAUUGAAGGUAUUUUCAAGUCGGUUCGGCGAUUCGUCGAGCCUACGCGAAGAUAUUGAAGAAACGGUCGUUUUGGCUUCGUUUCUGCCUGGAGGGCCAAUGCGACGUCCAAAAAUCACGAGAAUGGAUCCGGAGGAUCGUAACAUCAAGUUAUAGACCUUUAAUUUCCGGAUUGUGGAUUGGUGGUCGUUUGGUGGUCGAGUGCGAGUUCGGGCCGAACCGGGCAACGGGUGCCGCGGGAGACCGAUUGCAAGUGACUACAAGCAAUCGGAAAGCGAUUUGAGGUGGGUUGUGCUCACCGAAGCGACUAGGUCGCCUUCAUGUCGAAGGAAAAUAUGGUUUCAUAUUGAUGCAUAUAGUGGUAGCUAGUAGUAAAAUAUAUGAAUGCAUGAGGUGAAUGCUAAGUAGGCUACCAAAGAAUGCAUGAUGACAUAAUGUGAAUAAUGCUAGUUUGAGAGCAUAAGAGAAAUGGCUUAUGCAUGUAAACAUUAUAAGAACAUGCUAGUCGGAAUGCAUAAUGGCAUGCUGCAGAGAAUGCUAAUUGAGAUGUGCAUGUUGUAAUAUAUGCUAGGUGAAAUGCAUAUUGAUAUAAGAUAAAAAUGCUAGAUAAUAUGCAAGUUGGCAAGUUGUAUAUUAUACUUGAUUCACAUGAGUUGAACAUAGGUCGAUAACUCUAGGUGUAUUAGAGAAUGCGACAUUGGAAAAUAAGAAUGUAUAAACUAUGAUACUCGAUGUGGACAAGUAGAGUGUCAAGUAGAUCGAGUGGCAUUGAACCUAGAGUUGUGAACCUAGGAUGGACAUGUGUGGCAUUUAACCUAGUGUUAAUAAACAUAGGUUGGACAAGAGUGGCAUUGAACCUAGUGUUAUUGAACAUAGGUUGGACAUGUGUGGCAUUUAACCUAGUGUUAAUAAACAUAGGUUGGACAAGAGUGGCAUUGAACCUAGUGUUAAAGAACAUAGGUUGAGAAUUGAAUCUAGAAUCAUGUAAACCUAGGUUACGAUAAAAGCAUUAAAUCUAGGUUCAAAUGGACCUAGGAUGGAAAGGACAUUGGACCUAGAUAGGUCGACACUAUAGGGUUAACACCAACCCUUGAGCUAUGUGAAAUGGAUUCCGAAAUCCCAUAACUUAUGGAUCACACCGAGAGGGGUGUGAGGUGUGUGUGACGAUUUCGCCGCCCAGGGCUAAACCAUUGACGAGGCGUGUGCGACGAUUUCGCUGCCGAAUGGUUAAGCUGGUUUGUGGAUUAUACUGCCGGUUGACUUGAGCCAUGGUUGGGCGUGUGCGACGAUUUCGCCGCCGUGUGGCUAAGUCAUGGAGCGCGGUAGGUUGUGGUUGGCUGAGGUGCAUGUGAGAUUUCCUUCACCUCGAGCCGGACAGAGCGCGGAUUAUCCGCAUUUGAUUGACUCAAGACCGAGUCAAGUGGCAUAGUGUGACUAAGGUAAGAGUAACCUUAGGAAAGAAUAGCUAAGAAUAAAGAAUGGCUAAGAAUAAAGAGUGGCUAAUAAGAAAGAAUUGCAAGUAGUAAAGAUUGGCUAACAAUAAAGAAUGGCAAAUGAUAGAGAGUAAAAUCAUUUAAUCUAUUUGCAUAGUUGCAUGAAUUUCAUAUUGCAUAUUGAGAGGCACAGUCAUGUGUUUUAAUAUUGCAUAAAAUACUUGUGGAUAUCUGUUGGACUAACAUGAUUGCAAUGCCUCCUUGGACCUAGUGGGUUGAGCUUUUCCCUUGGGUGGCUGUAUCCACCGGAAAUUAUGGACAAUAGUUCUCACCCCCGUGUUGUUUUUGGGGGUACAGGUUUACACGCGAGCGGCACGGCGGCGCGAGGAAAUGGCGUAGCUCCGUAGGUAGCGCCCUACCCCAGAGACUAGAGAUAGAAGUACCCCGAGUCGGCAUAGCUAGGGGUAUAAGAAUUGAAAGGAUCAAAAUGUAUCAAACUUGUAAAUAAGUAAAAGUUGUAAUAACUUGGAUUGCAUGUUUGGAAGUUAAAUGUAAUAUGUAAUUGAGAUGUAAAAGCUUGUAUGUGAAUGCUUGUAAUAGUUUAGCUGUUUAUAUUUUUGAUACUUUCUUAUGCAAUCUGUAUGUUCCUGGUUGGAACCUUUGAGUACUGUUCCUGGUUGGAACCUUUGUAUUGUAUUGAUUGCGACGCCUAGGACAUACAGAGGAAACUCUGUCCGUUCGGCGGUCUGUCGGCGUACCCGAACACAACCAAAUAGGCGGGGCACAGGGCGUGACAACUACAUACCAAAAAACUUCAGUAAGUAAAACUCUCUUACCUUUCCCUGGGAUCGAGAACAACAAGAUAUCGCCGCUACUAAAUCGCUGCUACAUUAGAGUAAAAGAUCUUUUAUUUUAAAAGCAAAACAUAAACAAAUUAAUCACUUCUUCCUCCUUAGUAGGAAAAAAAAAUAAAAAAAAUAGAGAUCUCUACGUUAAAUCACACACAAACCUAACACAAACUCUCGACAUCUAAUCUAACUUUCUCUCUACGGGGUUUAAUAUGCACUUUACUAAAUCAAUUAAUCCUACAAACACCAGUCAAAGCUCUAAAUCCUCAGAUACGAUUUUUACCCCAAAUUCUGGACCAAAAAACAAAUUCUAACCGUAGGAAAUAAAAAUUUCUCCAAAUCACUCGAAUAAAUCAGACAUUCGAGUCAUUUAUUUGGGAUUUAAUCGACUAAAAUCGCCAAAAGGAGCAAAUGCAUACGAUUUCCCGCCUAGAGGAGAUGGGGGGGACUUGUCACUUCUACUACCCCCUGACUCCUCACAACCCCCUAAAAAGCAAACGUGCUAAGCUAUUAUCAGUUUAUCUCUAUCAUCUAAAGAUACAAUCAAAGAUCAUAGGUUUUAAAGAGAAUAGAUAGUAUUAAAGUUUGCUGUUGACAAUUCAAACAGUCCCAAGGAGCUUGUACAAAGUUCUAUUGCUUAUCUCAAUGGAAAAAGAUAGCAUAGCAUUAAAUGGAUAUUAGUUUAAAUGCAACACUUCAGACGAUGUACUAACCCAAAACUUAGAAAUUUCAGUAGGCAAAAUUUAGAAUACUAACCUUCAACUCUUGCGAUCAAUCACAAAGUCUGCAUUUGGGCCAUAAAGCUGAAAGUCAAAACAGAAUCAGCAGCACUGUUUUCUCUCACGGAUACUUUUGGCACUGAAGAAAUGAAGACCAAAUAGUUACACAUGAUGCAAUUACAGUGAUCUACGUUCUGAUUUUUCAUCUAGCAUUGGAAAAGCUAUAUAAAAGUUGAAAUAGAGAUUGAUUCAAAUUAAAAAAAAAAAAUCUGACACCCCUACGCUUUUCUGAGGAAAUCCAAAACGGUAACAUGAAGAGCCCAUUUUAUUCCUACCGCCAGUUAUACUUGAUCUCUUUUUUAGUGCAAUAGUAGAGUACUUUCUACUUAACAGAUUUUUACAAGCAAGCAAACUAAUUUGGCAGAAAUUAGUUGGAUUUGAUUGCUUUUGACAUCUAAAUAGCAAGCAUAAUUUCUCAGAAACUCAAUAGCAGAGUGAAAAAACCAGCUAUAUUACUUGAUUAAAGAACACAAAAUCAAAAUUUUACUCCAAAAUUAUGUUUUCUUUCUACAAGUGCCGCCAAGUACACACUCCAAAGGAACUUGAACAGAGGCCUUUUGUACCAUUUCUCAUCUAUGGUAACAUCUCAACUUGUUUGGUGCCUCCAUUACUUUCCAAAUAACUCAAAAAAGACUAUAGCUUGACUCAAACUGGUGUUACCCUCCUAGAGAGCCAAAUUGUGAAGCUCGUAAGCACAAGGCAAGUCGUGUACGGGUGGCCCUUCUUGUUUCUUUCCAUUAUUUUUCUUGCCAAAGAAACCUGCUUGCCCACAGCAAACACAUAGGCCUUGCCUAUGCCUCCGGCACCUCGAGCCGUCCACCCGACAUGGCGGAUGCACUCGCUCAGAUCACGAGGCAAGUCGAAGAGCACCACAUGGUUCACGUUCGCAAAAUCUAUGCCUCGCGAGGCUCUGCCAGAUGUAUGUAGUCCAAUCCCAGUUAACAGAAGCAACCAAGAUAUCACAAAAAUAACAAAUGCUCUAUAAAAUUAGAUGGAAAGAAGAAAUGUGUGCAGUAAGAAAAAAAUACGUUACAGAAAGAUUUACUAUGUAUAUAGUGUAAACUGCCGGCCAUAAAAAACAUGAAACACACACACAGAAAAUAAAUAAAGAUCAAGAUAACUAGUAUAUUCCUUGACGUGAUACCUGUUUGUGCAGAUGAGGAACAUUGAAUCUACCAAUUGUGAGUUAAGAAACUCCUUAAUGUUAGCAAGGUGCAUUUCCUGUGCCAGUGCAACAUGGAAAGGCAGAAUUUUGAUGUGUGACCCUUUUCUAUCAAAUCUGUUCAACACAUUCUCAACCUUUCUGCAGGUCUCAAUCUACACAUACAACAAACAACUGUCAUUACACAACCUAUAAAGCAGGGACAUAAAAUAGGAAGCUUUUACAACCCUUUUCUUCCAUCGCGCAAUACACACCGCCGAGCCCAGUGGGAACCACCACAAAUCAUGCAUCCUGGGGAGGACCGGGUAGAGGACGACUUCGAGUGGCGCCUAGAACUUGAUUGUCCGCCCGAACCCCUCGACAGUGGCCUCACCUCUACCCGCUCACGUUCAGAAGACUCGUGCUCCUCACGCACGAAAGCCUCGCCGUGCUCUGCCGGCAACGCUCGAUCCAACACCUCCGCGAAGGUUGUGAGCUUGAAGAUUUGCACCUUCUUAUAAAUCUCUGGUCGAAGUCCAUGCAGGAACCAAUCGGCCAUAUCCUUGUCAUCCCGUACCACAUCCAGGACACAAUUCACGAUGUGGGAAAACUCCCAUUCGUAUUCCCUAACAGAGCGGUCUCUUUGCCGUAGCUUCCUGAACCUAUCCUGAAGCUUUCUCUUUUCACUAUCGGGGAAGUAAGUUGAAAACACCAAUCCUCGAAACUCAUCCCAUGCCAUAGGAGGGAGACUAGGCGAUCGAUUCCGUCGAAUGCCUUUCCACCACACCUUUGUCGACAACUUCAAACAGUGCACGGCUAUGGGCACCUUGUCCCGCUCUAAGGUGCACAGCUCCUCGAAGAGCGUUUCUAUAGAGUCAAUCCACAUCUCCAAGAUCCACGGAUCGACAUUCUCUCCAUCGAAGAUAGGCAGAUCAAAUUUCUUGAAAGCCAUGAGAGCCGCCAAAGCUCGUUCCCUCUCCGCCUCCACCUCUACGAUGUCGGGAGUGGGAUUGCCCGACCCUGACGAAAACAUCUCCGCCGUGACUCCCGGCCGUCCUUGACGAGCUGCAGCUGGUGCUGCCACCAGCUGAUCCACCGUCUCUUGGAGUCUUUUCAUCCGCUCCUCCUGGCGCAUAGCAGCCUCCUGCUGCCGCUGCACCACAUCAGCCUGUUACCUCACCACUCCAAUGUGAGUGGCCAACUGAUCACGAAGCUCCGAGUCUCCGCUUGCGUCGGUUUGCUCGGGGACACCACUUGUCCCCUCCCGCGCUGAUCUAGAUGAAGAUCGCCUACGCGGUGCCAUCAUUUCCUGAAACAAGACAACUCGAUUAAUUCUCAACCUUCUAGGUCGAGCACGAAACAAUUUAACAUUGACUCAAAUCGGGCGAAAGUCAUGCAAGGGCGUAUAUUCUCAUCACUCGAUUUCAUGUUGUUGCACGCCCAACAUGAACACCCUUGGGUUGAGAAUAAACCACACCUCGAGUCUACCUCUAAUAUCCGUCUUAGAGGUUUACAACACAACCCAAUCAAUUAACCUUUCGCCAUAAGUCGCAAGUCCUCGUCUCUUACGAGUCUUAUUCUCCUAUGGUUUUCUAUUCUAGGGUCUUCUAGGUCUGCCUAAACCAUUCCCAUUCUCUACUUUAUGCUCUGAUACCACCUUCUGUCACGCCCCGAGCCCCACGCCUAUUUGGCCGGGUUCGCACCGCCGACAGCACCGAACGGACAAGGUUUUUCCUGUACCACGGACAGAGUCUCCCCUGACCGUUCAAGGCUCAACAAACAGUACAAUACAAAAAGUUCCAAACAGGAACAUUAUUCGUACAAUGAUUGCAUAAGGAAGGUAUCAAACAACAUAACACAUCCUAUGUUAUUACAAGCAUUCCCAUUAGAUUCAUUUUUACAUCACACUCACAUAAUACAUUUUAUGACUUCCAAAUACAAUCAAGUUACUACAUCAUUUGUUUACAAGUUUUAGUACAUCUUGUUUUUUUCAUUUCCCUCUACCCCUAGGCUAUGCCGACUCGGGGUACCGCUAUCUCUGGUCUCUAGGGCAGGGCGCUAUCUAUGGAGCUACCCCCUUGCCUCGCGCCGCCGCGCCGCUCACGUGCGAACCUGUAACACCCCAAAACAACGUGGGGUGAGAACUAACUCCAUAGUUUCAAGUGGGUACGGCCACCCAAGGGAGAAGCUCGACCAAUAGGUCCAAGGAGGCACUGCAAUCAUGUUAGUCCAGAAACAUCUACAGAUAUAUAUAUAUAUCAUCAUGUAAUAUGCAACUAACAGAUAUCAUGCCUCGCAAUAUGCAAUAUGAAUAUAUGCAAUCAACUAGUAGAUCUAUUGAUUCUACGUUCAACUUUGCUAUCUUUAGCUCAUAUCAUUCAAUUCUAAGGUUUCUACUAUCUUAGGUUCUCAACUCAAGUCCAACUUUCUUCUAAGGUCUCUAUUACCUCAGCUCUUGCCUCUAUCACUAGCUUUCAAGGUUUCUACUACCUCUAUCAAGCUAGCCACCCGACUCGGCCUCGAGUCAAUCAUCCACGGAUAGUUCGCGCACUGGCUGCACCUCAGCCUGGCUGCCGUCACAGCCUACCGCACCUCUGACUUAGCCAUCUUGCGGUGAACUCAUCGCAUCUCACCCAACAACGACUCAAGUCAUGACUUAGCCAUCUGGCAUCGAACUUAUCUCAUCUCACCCAACAAUGGUUCAAGUCAUGUCUUAGUCAUCUGGCGGCGAACUCAUCGCCCUUACCCAGCAAUGGUUCAAGUCAAUCUAGGCGGCAUCAUUCAAUAAGCUAAAUGGGCGAGGAGAACCACACAUACCCAUUUCAAUCUUAUUCUCAUGGCAUCCCGGGCGAGGAGAACCACACAUACCCGUUGAAUCACUGCCAGGUGAGGAGAACUACACAUACCUGCAGUUAUGAUUCGCUUGCCAUGUAGCACACUGGACCGUUGCAAAUUGCGAGGUUCGAGUGUUUGAUUUGUAUUCCAAGCUUUUCCACACUUGGUGGAGGGCCGUCGAUGGUACACCGGCCUAAAAGUUCGAUCUCGAGAGUUCUGGCAGAGUCCUGAGAAUUUUUACUCUCGGGGACCGGUCCCUGAUAGGAGAGACCGGUCCCCCAGUGAACAGUGCUGCGCAGCCGGCCAGGUAACCGGUCCCUGGCAGUCGAGACCGGUCCCCGAGCGCGUCUUCGCGGGGAGAGACCGGUCCCGUGCANCUACGAACGUGUCUCACGUCUCGUCUCUACUCUCACCGCCUGCGAUACCUGAAAAAUGGUGGGGGAGGUGAGAACAUGUAAACAUGUCUCCCCUCCCAGUGGGUACCGCAAGCCGACGAAGGCGAGAAGUACUCACCGGAUCAGGAAGAGAUAAGCAACAAUAUGGUAAACAAAUAUACAUGCCGAUACGAAGAAACUACAGUAGCUAUAACAGAUAAAUGAGCAAUAAACAAAACUGCUACUGUAAGGAAUGCAAUGCUGAGUAUGCCUCAAGGUAACCAAACCAAAACUGUACCCAAUCUGGUGCCUACUAUAUUGGUCUGCAGACCUCAAGCGCUGCCUAUCACUGAUCUUUACCGACCUGAUUCACCCGCCCCACAGGACGACCCAUCCGGAUAAGCACACCUCCGGUCGGUGGCCAAACUGACCCGGUGUCGUGAAUACCCCCAAGUGUUGUGACUAAGUCAUGCUGGUACGCUCAAUACAAAAACCGGCUGAAGCCGGUGCCUAAGCAGAAGCCAGAAACAAGGGCGUACAACGCCGAAUCUCGAUCAACCAGAUCGAAACACAUGACGAGAGAGUCGAUGUGUUGCCUGGACCCAAAGUCCACAGAGUCCAACCGACCAGCAAGGUCACUGAUACGAAGUACGAGAACCGACCAACCAGGUCAACAGAUACGGAAUGCAACAACCGACCAACCAUGUCAACAGAUACGAAAUGCAACAACCGACCAACCAGGUCAACAGAUACGCAUAUAGAUAGAACAACUCUACUCCUACUCAGGAUACUAAGCUUGCAAACAACGAGCAGAGUAUAAUGGAAUAACAUGGGUGCAAGGCUCAAUAUAUACUAUGCAAUAGUAACAACAGAAGAGUAAGGGUAAGAAACCAUCACCAAGCGUGCACCACUGUACCGACUUUGGAUCGAAGUACCCACCUAUACUAGUGUCGCACCUGUCUCCCAACCGUACGCGAUCAUCAACCGAACCUACGAAGGUCCACCAGGUCAGUAACCAACCCACUAACCCAAAGUACGAGACUCGCAAACCCCCACACAAGUCUCCGAAUCGGUUUCCCAAAACUGAUCACCGUAACUCACCAGAGGUCCCGAAAACCACACGGAGACGCCGUUGGGACCCACUAAGUGACCCGAAACUCACCGACUCGUGUCACGAGUCACCCGCUGCCACAAAACACUCUGAUUUGGAUGUCUUGGCAGCAAACAAAAGAUAACAUAACCAAACAAUUGUCGUCGGAUAAUUGUUCGAAUCCGGGUUCCAGGAAGUGUCUAUUUUGACACUGGAACCCACUGUCGCUCACCCGUCAUAAUUGAACCCACAAAAUGAUGAUGGUGACCAGCCAACAAGGCUCAUCGACAAAUCAUAGGACAACCAAACCACGUCGGAAGAAAUCCGAAUCGAAUCCGCGUUCUUUCGGCGAAUUUCGCCAAAAAACGCACCGAAAUCGACUCAUCGAUUUCCGCGAAGGCUAUCGGAUCAUGGACAAUCAGUCCAUAGGUCACCAAACACACAUACACACUACCCACAGUAGCCACAAGGUGCACAAAUGCAUAAAAGCCCCUCAAUUUACAUAAAAUCCUAUCAUUUUAUGUAAAUCGGGCGAUUAAGUGGCUCGUUCACGCAAACCGAGAACUUCUAAGUUCUGCCGAGACACGUACUGCUUGGUCUCGACGUACCGGAGGCCGUGCUCAUGAUUCGGAGCACAACAGCUCACUGUGGGAAGCGCGGGAGCAACCCGAAGGUUUAGCGAACAGCGCGCAGUCGGGGAAAAACGCGCCGAACAGAACUAACUGGACUUCGUUGAUCCAAAGUGAUGUGAGCACUGUGAUCGAAACUGACCAACAAUCACCAUGCUCACCUCCGAAGGCAUCGGAACAGCCUCGGAUCGCCGGAACAACGUGCGCAAACACCAAACAGUAGCCAAACAGGCUCAAACGGAGCAACACCGCCGAAACAGCCAAACGGAGUCUCCCCGACAAAAUCUAAGGUGAGCACGAUGAUCCAAAAUUUUCCAUGAUCAUCGUGCUCCCUUCCGGAGAGAUCGGGGAGCCUCGGAUAGCUCAUAACAGUAAACCUACCAAGAAAAACCCUAUUUCGGGCUUGGCCGGAGCAGGCUUGCUCCGGCCGGCUUCCGGCGGCACGGGAAGGUGCGCGCGGGCCAGAAGUGGGUGCGGGGGAGGGAAGGAGCAAGGUGCUCACCACAGAUGGUAGCGAGGAGUGGCGGCGGCGACGGUGGAGCAAGCCAAGCCCCGCACGAGUUGAGCUCGGGUACCACGGCUGCUGCGACCACUGCGGCGGCUGGGGCAAGUCGGGGAUGACGGUGGGGGGUGCCCAGUGGCCGGAGGAGUGCCUCGGGUGCGGCCCCGAGCGGCGGCGUCGCGAGGAGGGAGCCGCGAUCAAACCUCGGCCUGGCUCGGCCUGGUAGGCUGCAACGAGCACGGGCGGCGGCGGCGGCCACUAGCAACGCCGGUGGCAGCGCGCGUGGGUCUCCGGGGCUCCAGGGGAGGUGGCCGGGAUGGUCCAGCCGGCGGCAG
rnacentral:lncRNA from 1 species